rnacentral:rRNA from 1 species
AGAAACCCAAAAGAUCGAAUGAGGAGAUUCAUCGUCAGCUCACUUUGUAUAUGUAUAGNGUUAUGAUGCGAGUUACUCUNUGUAGUAUUGCUUGUACAUACUUGUAUAUUUAUUUGCAAAGUGUNGUCGGCGUGCACUUCUCCUCUAGUAGGACGUCGCGACCCGUUGGGUGUCNGUCUANGACCCGAGUGGGAGCCUUUAAUAUUUUNAUAAUAUUAAAGACCCUUGGUGUUUUCUGACCGGCUACCCGGCGGUAUUCGUACGGUAUUUAGCCGCAUUUAUUUGNNCGUCCAUGUCUGUUGCAAGCGCGGCUAAUUUCUGGUAGUNGCGGACCUAGUGCCGUCGCUGGGAUUGGCCAGCUGUUGG